CCUGACGCUGAGACGCGAAAGCGUAGGGAGCAAACGGGAUUAGAUACCCCGGUAGUCUACGCCGUAAACGAUGCGCACUAGAUUCGAGGACCCCUGACGGUCUUCGGGUCGAAACAAAAGCGUUAAGUGCGCCGCCUGGGGAGUACGGCCGCAAGGCUAAAACUCAAAGGAAUUGACGGGGGCUCACACAAGCGGUGGAGCAUGUGGAUCAAUUCGAAGCAACGCGAAGAACCUUACCUGGGUUUGACAUGGUUGGAUGGUCGCCUCGAAAGAGGAGUGAUCUGCCCGCAAGGGUGAAACAACCACAGGUGCUGCAUGGCUGUCGUCAGCUCGUGCUGUGAAGUGUCGGGUUAAGUCCCUUAACGAGCGAAACCCUUAUCGUUAGUUGCCAGCGGGUCAUGCCGGGAACUCUAACGAGACUGCCGGCGUUAAGCCGGAGGAAGGUGGGGACGACGUCAAGUCAUCAUGGCCUUUAUGCCCAGGGUGUCACACGUGCUACAAUGGGGCGUACAGAGCGAAGCAAGACCGUAAGGUGGAGCAAAUCGCAGAAAACGUUCCUCAGUUCGGAUUGGGGUCUGCAACUCGACCCCAUGAAGCUGGAAUCGCUAGUAAUCGCGUAUCAGCCAUGACGCGGUGAAUGUGUUCCUGAGCCUUGUACACACCGCCCGUCAAGUCAUGGGAGCUGGGAGUUCCCGAAGUCGCCACGAUUCGGUGGUGCCGACGGAAAGCCCGGUGACUGGGACUAAGUCGUAACAAGGUAGCCGUAGGGGAACCUGCGGCUG
rnacentral:rRNA from 1 species